rnacentral:rRNA from 1 species
AUUGAACGCUGGCGGCAGGCCUAACACAUGCCAGUCGAGCGGAUGAAGGGAGCUUGCUCCUGGAUUCAGCGGCGGACAGGUGAGUAAUGCCUAGGAAUCUGCCCGGUAGUGGGGGAUAACGUCCGGAAACGGGCGCUAAUACCGCAUACGUCCUGAGGGAGAAAGUGGGGGAUCUUCGGACCUCACGCUAUCAGAUGAGCCUAGGUCGGAUUAGCUAGUUGGUGGGGUAAAGGCCUACCAAGGCGACGAUCCGUAACUGGUCUGAGAGGAUGAUCAGUCACACUGGAACUGAGACACGGUCCAGACUCCUACGGGAGGCAGCAGUGGGGAAUAUUGGACAAUGGGCGAAAGCCUGAUCCAGCCAUGCCGCGUGUGUGAAGAAGGUCUUCGGAUUGUAAAGCACUUUAAGUUGGGAGGAAGGGCAGUAAGUUAAUACCUUGCUGUUUUGACGUUACCAACAGAAUAAGCACCGGCUAACUUCGUG